CCGCUCCCUGGUGUCCAGCGCGGACGCCGUGACCUUGUCCUGGUCACCUCCUCCCCCUGACCAGCCCCUUGGGGAGGGGGGGGGGGGGAAAUAAAGGCCUGAAUUUUUAAAAAAAGCACUUUCGUGUAUCUCCAACUCUUCCUGACCCCAUCUGAGGCUUUCUGGCAAAAAGACUGCAGCGGUUUGCCUUCCGGCUCGUUUUACAAAUGAGGAAAUUGAGGCAGAAGUGACUGGGCCAAGGUCACACAGCAAGUAUGGGAGCCCGGAUGUGAGCUUAGCGAGAGCAGGCGCCCUCAGUGCAAGGCCGAUUUUAUUAUUCAUGACGAUCUUGCUUGCUGUGACUGCAAAUUGUGAAGCGCUUCA
rnacentral:lncRNA from 1 species